rnacentral:rRNA from 1 species
UACGUAGGGUGCUAGCGUUGUCCGGAUUUAUUGGGCGUAAAGGGCUCGUAGGCGGCGUGUCGCGUCGGGGAGUGAAAGCCCGCUGCUUAACGGCGGGUUGGCUUCCGGUACGGGCAUCGCUGGAGUGCGGCAGGGGAGACUGGAAUUCCCGGUGUAGAGGUGAAAUUCGUAGAUAUCGGGAGGAACACCGGUGGCGAAGGCGGCGAUCUGGGUCGAUACUGACGCUGAGGUGCGAAAGCGUGGGGAGCAAACAGG